GACUGUAUAUUGAUAUCCCCCUGUCUGUUCAAAGACCGCAUCUACGAUAUGGACGAAUUUUCCAUUGAUCUCAUCGAGGUAGACUUUUUGGGUAGUCUGGUUAAAAACAAAUUGGAAUGUUGAUUAGAGACAUAUUCAGGUCUGUAACAGUGGAUUGAAGGCGACUCCUUUGGCUCUGAUGGAGGCUUCCCACUGGGGAGGGGGGCAGCAAGUGUUCUCCUGGCCCACGACCGCCGCGAAGAGUACAAACAAACAAGCCAAACUCUGCAUUGUCUUCUACUGGAAACUGAACGACCGCAUCAUUCAUCCGUCAUAUUUAUAUGUUCUAGAUGAAGACACAAAGCUAAGUUCAACGUAUCUAGUGCCAACUCUUCAUAAGAAGUAAUACAGGACAAAUCUGAAAUUCU